GACGAACGCUGGCGGCGUGCCUAAUACAUGCAAGUCGAGCGGAACGGCGGACGGGGGAGUAAUGCCUAGGGAUCUGCCUGGGAGUGGGGGAUCACGUCCGGAAACGGGCGCUAAUAACGCAUACUAUCAGAGGAGUUUAGGGCGGAUUAGCUAGUUGGUGCGGGAAAGGCGUACCAAGGCGACAAUCCGUAACUGGUCUGAGAGGAUGAUCAGUCACACUGGAACUGAGACACGGUCCAGACUCCUACGGGAGGCAGCAGUGGGGAAUAUUGGACAAUGGGCGAAAGCCUGACCCAGCCAGGCCGCGUGUGUGAUGAAGGUCUUCGGAUCGUAAAGCACUGUUAGUUGGGAGGCGUUACCAACAGAAUAAGCAACGGCUAACUUCGUGCCAGCCGCCGCGGUAAUUC
rnacentral:rRNA from 1 species